GUGAAUCAUCAAAUUUUUGAACGCAAAUUGCACUCUCUGGUAUUCCGGAAAGUAUGCCUGUUUGAGGGUCAGUUAAAUUAAAAUUGGUGGUGUUGCUGCCUUUCGUGGUGACGGGACGGAAUUGAGUUGUUCUACCCUUGGUUAAGUGACUUUAAAUUUUGCAUGAUUUUUGUACGUAUUAAAAUAUUUUAC
rnacentral:misc_RNA from 1 species